UACGUAGGGUGCAAGCGUUGUCCGGAAUUAUUGGGCGUAAAGAGCUCGUAGGCGGUUUGUUGCGUCGGCUGUGAAAUCCCGAGGCUCAACCUCGGGUCUGCAGUCGAUACGAGCAAACUAGAGUGUUGCAGGGGAGACUGGAAUUCCUGGUGUAGCGGUGAAAUGCGCAGAUAUCAGGAGGAACACCGGUGGCGAAGGCGGGUCUCUGGGCAUGUCCUGACGGCUGAGGAGCGAAAGUGUGGGGAGCGAACAGG
rnacentral:rRNA from 1 species